UACGAAGGGGGCUAGCGUUGUUCGGAUUUACUGGGCGUAAAGCGCACGUAGGCGGAUCUUUAAGUCAGAGGUGAAAUCCCAAGGCUCAACCUUGGAACUGCCUUUGAUACUGGGGAUCUCGAGUUCGGGAGAGGUGAGUGGAACUGCGAGUGUAGAGGUGAAAUUCGUAGAUAUUCGCAAGAACACCAGUGGCGAAGGCGGCUCACUGGCCCGGUACUGACGCUGAGGCACGAAAGCGUGGGGAGCAAACAGG
rnacentral:rRNA from 1 species